UGUAAGCAUAUGGCUAACAGCAUCCUCAUGCUAACGGCGGCUAACAGCCCAGAAACAGGUGAACAACACGGAGCCUGUUCGGGUCAUAUGAGGCUGAUAAGUGACUGCAGGUUGGACGGAAAACAGAAAAUAGGAAACAGAAAACUGUCAGCUGUUUGUUGAACUGGAAAUCAUGUGAAUGAACAGGGAGGCUGUUGUCGAAGCUCAGAUGGGCCGCUGAAGUUUAACGGGUUACCCCGUUAAACUUUAGCGGCCCGUAUUUCAUGCAUCUCCAUGCAUGAAUAUGGUCGAAGUCAAAAUAACCACAACUGCCUAAAAUCACAUCAAACUUUUCUAUCUGUCAUUCACCCAUACAUCAUAACAUGAAAGUACAUACAUGGGACUAACCUGGCACAAAAAUCAUGAUGAAGUCGGUUUCCAUCCCACUGUCCGGACUUUAUUUUCCCACAGUUUCAUUCUUUCACUACUCCUGGGAAAUCUAAACAUGUGUAAUCCCUUCUCCGAUCGAUUUGUUCACCCAAAGGCACAACAGCCCGUCAUUUUUCAGGUAUUUAUGAAGCCAAAAAAGACCUAGAAUUACUCUCUGCGUUGUAAACAGCGUUAACAGGCAUAACUGGCGUUCAGAGCCCGAGAGACAGUAAGAGUUGCGACACUCCCAUAGGGUGCCGUUGUACGCUUUCUUCCAGUCUACUUCCGGGUUGUGGAGGCUUGUUUAGUUCCAAGCACGGCUUCGACAGUGACAGCCACCGUUCAUUUGCACUGCAGGUCGUUGAGUAUAUGUGGAGUAUCCCGAGAGCCCUCACUGAAGACACGAAGACCCUCAUUGUUUCUCCCAUUGUCAAUAAAACAUACUAUUUCAUUCAUCAAA